AUUGAACGCUGGCGGCAUGCCUUACACAUGCAAGUCGAACGGCAGCACGGGUGCUUGCACCUGGUGGCGAGUGGCGAACGGGUGAGUAAUAUAUCGGAACGUACCUUAUUGUGGGGGAUAACGCAGCGAAAGAUGUGCUAAUACCGCAUAAUCCCUAAGGGGGAAAGCGGGGGACCGUAAGGCCUCGCGCAAUUAGAACGGACGAUACCUGAUUAGCUAGUUGGUGAGGGAAAGGCUCACCAAGGCAACGAUCAGAAGCUGGUCUGAGAGGACGAUCAGCCACACUGGGACUGAGACACGGCCCAGACUCCUACGGGAGGCAGCAGUGGGGAAUUUUGGACAAUGGGGGCAACCCUGAUCCAGCAAUGCCGCGUGAGUGAAGAAGGCCUUCGGGUUGUAAAGCUCUUUUGUCAGGGAAGAAACAGCAGCUCUAACACAGUAUGCGAAAGACGGUACCUGAAGAAUAAGCACCGGCUAACUACGUGCCAGCAGCCGCAGUAA
rnacentral:rRNA from 1 species